AGAGAGCACCAAGGGAGCUGCGU
rnacentral:miRNA from 1 species